rnacentral:rRNA from 1 species
UACGGGGGGGGCAAACGUUAUCCGGAGUUACUGGGCGUAAAGGGCGUGCAGGUGGUCUGUUAAGUCUGGCGUGAAAGCUCUCGGCUAAACCGGGAGAGGUCGUUGGAUACUGGCGGACUAGAGGACGGUAGAGGUGUGUGGAAUUCCGGGUGUAGUGGUGAAAUGCGUAGAGAUCCGGAGGAACACCAGUGGCGAAGGCGACACACUGGGCCGUACCUGACACUAAGACGCGACAGCAUGGGGAGCGAACGGG